GUACGGUGCGAGCGUUAAUCGGAAUUACUGGGCGUAAAGCGUGCGCAGGCGGUUUUGUAAGACAGGCGUGAAAUCCCCGAGCUCAACUUGGGAAUGGCGCUUGUGACUGCAAGGCUAGAGUAUGUCAGAGGGGGGUAGAAUUCCACGUGUAGCAGUGAAAUGCGUAGAGAUGUGGAGGAAUACCGAUGGCGAAGGCAGCCCCCUGGGACGUCACUGACGCUCAUGCACGAAAGCGUGGGGAGCAAACAGGAUUAGAUACCCUGGUAGUCCACGCCCUAAACGAUGUCAACUAGUUGUUGGGGAUUCAUUUCUUCAGUAACGUAGCUAACGCGUGAAGUUGACCGCCUGGGGAGUACGGUCGCAAGAUUA
rnacentral:rRNA from 1 species